AGCCAUGACUGUAGACUGUUACUGUCCUGUCCCUACGCAGCAGUAAGCAGUCUAGAGCCAAGGUGC
ensembl:miRNA